GGGAUUGUGGCUCAGAGGGAGAGCACUCACCUCCCAUGUGUGAGGCACUGGGUUCAAUCCUCAGCCCCA
rfam:Ictidomys tridecemlineatus contig088056, whole genome shotgun sequence.